GACCAGCACGAUGUAAGGGGCGGAUCUGAGUCAACAGAGGCUUGUGUGCCUUGUGCACUAGCCUCCUGCUCUGGGGAAGGGCAGGUGGGGACUGAAGCAUCAUGAAUCUAGCUGGUUUCUAUGUGACCCUAGUGAAACAGUUACUCUGGGUUCAAGUCUCAGCUGUGGAGAAAUACCAGCAAUUAAUCACCCCACCCACCACAGGCAACAAAUGGAAAAGGAAAAUCAAACCUUCCUACAAGCACACACCCAGGGCACCACCUGGAUAGUCCCCAGUCCCAGGUCUGUUCCAUGGUGGUUGCCAUCUGAGAAGAUGCUCGGCCUCAUCUGGUUGCCCAGGAAGACAGGAGGAGAGGCUAUGGGAUAUCUGGAGGUGGUCCUUGUUAUUGCUGAAGACAGCUGUUGCUCUGCACCUCGGGGUACCACCGCUUCAGUGUAAUUCCCUCUCAGCUGACCGUCGUCUUCUCGCUCCUUUGCUACCAAAUCAGCACUGGCCAGCUGCAGUCCAGGUCCUGUCUGGACCUCUUGAGAGUUCACCCAAGAAUCUGGACUCCUGGGGGGGCAGGUCUCCAGAUCACGGAGUGAGAGUGGAGGGGAGUGUUAGGAGCUCAGAGUUGCAGGUCAUAACACCCAGCUCAUUGAGACCAAAUGAACAAAUAAACAGAUACAAAGGUUACCAGGCACAUGGGCCCAUAGAUACAGAGACAGAUGAAAACACAUAGACAUACAGGCAACAGCCAUGACAACAGCAAUAUAAGAACAACUGCAAUAAAAAUAGUGAUAAUUGUAAAAUAAUUGAAAGAAAGGUAAAAAAAAGAGAGAAAAAAGUGGUGUUAGAAGGAAUGUUAAAUGAUAAGAAAGAAGAAAUUAAAAUUAGAAGACAUAGAAAUAAAAAAUAUAUCUAUAUAAAAAGUAAUAAUGAAAAAUUAUCGAAAUCUCCUCUAAGAAAAUGGUGAGGAAAAAACAGACAAAAACAAAACAACGACAACAAAAAAACCCCCACGAAAACCAAAACCAAAACAAACAAA